CGGUGUGCUCUUGGAGCUGCGGGGAGGUGAUAGUGCACCGCCGCCUGGCAGGGAGGAGGGGGCGGAGGGGCUUCGGAGCGGCUUCCCUGCGGCCCAAAGGAAGAGGGGCCUCGCUGAUCCUAAAAUUUGUUCAGGGCCAGUGGCCGUCGAAGGGCGGGUGCGGAUGCUUUUGGGCUGGGAGCGGUGUUUUGAGCAGUGUUUGAUUUUAAACCUCAACAUCAGUUCCUUCUGCCAUCCUGUAAUGUGUAUAACCAGUCCCUCCUGAAAGCCUAUGGCCCAAGUGCUGGUGCAGUUUCUUGGCACUCAUCUUGAGAACGAUAAUUACUGGACGGUGGAAAUUGUCUGUUUCCUUGAGAAGAAAUGUAGGAAGGAACUUGCCGUGGAGUUAGAAGGAACUCCUUGGAGAAAUUUCAAGUAUGGGGCAAGAAUUGUCCAAGAUAAACAAGGAAGCUUUCAAAGACUAUUAGGAGUGUAUCAAAAAGACUCAGAAGCAACUAGAAUAGUUCCGCCUGGCCAAAGAUGGGACAAGUUGAAUGUCAAAAUGGAUAAUUUCUGGGCCUGGCCCUGUGGCCUAGUGGUUAAGUUCACGUGCUCCGCUUCAGCAGCUCAGGGUUUUGCCAGUUUGGAUCCUGGGCUCGGACAUGGCACCGCUCGUCAAGCCAUGAUGAGGCAGC